rnacentral:rRNA from 1 species
UAGGGAAUCUUCCGCAAUGGGCGAAAGCCUGCCGGAGCAACGCCGCGUGAGUGAAGAAGGUCUUCGGAUCGUAAAACUCUGUUAUUAGGGAAGAACAAAUGUGUAAGUAACUAUGCACGUCUUGACGGUACCUAAUCAGAAAGCCACGGCUAACUACGUGCCAGCAGCCGCGGUAAUACGUAGGUGGCAAGCGUUAUCCGGAAUUAUUGGGCGUAAAGCGCGCGUAGGCGGUUUUUUAAGUCUGAUGUGAAAGCCCACGGCUCAACCGUGGAGGGUCAUUGGAAACUGGAAAACUUGAGUGCAGAAGAGGAAAGUGGAAUUCCAUGUGUAGCGGUGAAAUGCGCAGAGAUAUGGAGGAACACCAGUGGCGAAGGCGACUUUCUGGUCUGUAACUGACGCUGAUGUGCGAAAGCGUGGGGAUCAAACAGG